rnacentral:rRNA from 1 species
ACGUAGGGAGCGAGCGUUGUCCGGAAUUACUGGGCGUAAAGGGUGCGUAGGAGGAAUGGCAAGUCAGAUGUGAAAUCCCCGGGCUUAACUCGGGUGCUGCAUUUGAAACUGCUGAGCUUGAGUGCAGGAGAGGAAAGCGGAAUUCCUAGUGUAGCGGUGAAAUGCGUGGAUAUUAGGAGGAACACCAGUGGCGAAGGCGGCUUUCUGGACUGUUACUGACACUAAGGCACGGAAGCGUGGGGAACAAACAG